rnacentral:lncRNA from 1 species
UACUUCUCAUUUUCUCUCUUCCCUCCACCCCACUUCAAAUAGAUUCGCGGUGUGAAGAAUUUGAUAAUUUACUCCUUGCCAGAGAGAAAAGAAUUCUACCUAUAGGUAUCUUUCCAUUUUUCACUAGCAGUUGUUUCCUUUUCUCGUAUGUUGAUAUUCCCUCACUACAAUUGUUACUUAUUUUUCUAGAUAGUUAACUUUCUGGAAGAGUCUGAUAGCAUGAAUUGCAGAGUAUUGUUUUCUCGUUUGGAUAAUCUCCGGGUAUCAUUCUUGUACUUUAGCUGUGCAAGAUCAUAUAAAUUGGUCAUUUAUCUUUAAAAUAGUUUGUUUUCAGUGUCCCCCAAUUUAAUGUGUGUCGUCAUGUUCCACUUUUAUAACUAGUAUUAUUUAAAUAAUAACUUUAUAAAUAUAAAAUUUAUUUAUAAUACUAUGAUUUAUACUUUUUAUUUAAAAAAAAUAAUUUUCAAAAAUAUAUGCCAUAACUUUUAAUUUAUUAACAUAUUAUUAGCUAAUAAAAAUAAAACUAAAUGAUAAAAAUUAAACUAAAGCAUAUAAAUUAAGUUGGAUUGAAGAAAAGACACAUGCACAUAUAUACGUUAUAAAUUUUUCUAGAGGGAAAAGAAAAACAUGCACACUGGUAAUUCUCAUCACUAUUAAUUUAUAAAUAAGGAUCAUUUAGUUCAUAAUGUAAAAUUCCAUACGAUAGCAAAUUAAAUUAAACUAUACUAAUUUAUUUUCUUCAAAGAUUAAUUGGAUAUAUAUACUCUUUCAAAAGCUUUCUGGUGGAGGAGCAUGAUGGUGGUGGUGCUUGAGUGAAUUAUCAACACUCCACAACAUAUCCUCAUCUUCAUCAUUUUCAUCUAUAUUGGAAUCGAAUAAUGAUGCAUCUUCUUCUAAACUACGAGCAAGAGAUGCAGUGACCAAAAAAAUCAAGAAUCCGAUGAGAAAUAAGAGGGAAUA